UAGAGAUGGGGUUUCACUGUGUUGGCAAGGCUGGUCUUGAACUCCUGACCUCGUGAUCGACCCACCUCGGCCCCCCAAAGUGCUGGGAUUACAGGCGUGAGCCACUGCACCCAGCUAGGGUGCUUUAUUUGUAAAAGGAAGAUGUGGCUUGUGUUUAAAACACAAGUUUUAUUUUUAUGUAGGAGUAACUGGCUCGGGAGUCCCCUUUGAUUUUGGAUGUAACCCCUACAAAGGAAAGCGCCCUUUGAAAGACAGUUGGGUCGUACAAAAAUCAUCACAGCAGUGGUGACCCUUCAAGUGAUAGGUAUGUCAGGCAGUGGCAGUGUCAGCGUCGGGAAGCCGGCCUCUGAAAUGCCACUGCGGGUCCAGAGCCGGCAGGAAGAGCUGGAACAGUUAGUUCCAGCUGUCCAGUCAGAAGGGACAGCAUUUCCCAAAAGCUGCUUUUCCUUGGACGUUUCAUAUUGCCAUGGCCAUCAUCCUAGGUGUGGCUGCUGUGCGUGAUCAUUGGUUCAGAGGUGUUUGCAUUUGCAAGGAGAGUGAAGAUCUCUCACAGGAGGACUCAGGAUAUUGCUGUGUGUACCCAAGGCCAGUCCUGUCCCUGAGAUUGGAUCUCCCUAAACACAGUUUCAGCCCAGAGUUCUUUAACAGUCCUUAAAAAGACUUUCUGCAUUCUAUUCAAUAACAGUUUCCUGAGCUAAUCAGCUCUAAUUACACUUAACUGUUCAGCAGUUCAGUGACUCUUAGAACACGGAUUUUUAAAUACCCAUGAACAUUUACUGGACACCACUGCUAACUAAUUACAGUGUGUAAGUCCAUUAUUUCCUGUUUCCUAUUGUUCUCUACAGACAGUGUUUAUGGAGUAAAUUUUUUUUUUCUCUAUUUUUGAGAUCCUUCAAGAGGACGUUCAGUAUUAAAAUGUUUCCAGUAAAGUUUCUACAUUUCCUCAAAUUCUGACAAUUGCUCCAUGUCACGAUUUGUGCUUUUCCUCCUCUCUUUGCUCUCCUCACCUUAACUCCAUUCUCCUUUCGGCUCCCAGGAGCUUGUUCGGCUGCUCCAGCAGACAGUCCAGUCAUCCCAGUAUGACAAGUAUUUCACUAGCAGCCGGCUCUGCGAGGGGGUCCCAAAGGACAUGCUUGAGCUUCUGCACCAAAAAGAUAAUCAGAUUCUGGGCCUCACCAGCCAGCUGGAGAGUCUCAACCUGGAGAAGGAGAGUCUUCAGCAGGAAGUGAGGAUGCUGAAGAGCAAGGUGGGCUAGCUCAAUGAGCAGCUAGGGAUACUGAUGGAGACUGUCCAAGCCAAGGACGGGGUCAUCAUCAAGCUCAGCAAGGGUGAUGGCAGCGGACCUCCUCCCACCACAGCACCCGGCUCCCCAUCGGCUGUGCCUAUUGGCAGGGACCAGCUGGAACUGGAAAGGCUGAAAGUAAGAGCAGGGCAGGGUUUCUGGUGAUUGGCAUGAGAGACCACUUAUGUCACCCUAGAGGCCUGGCCUCCGUGAGCUGAUUUGGUGUGAUGGCAGAACAGCUGCACACCUUUUUUUUCCACCCCCAAGUGUAAUAGCACUUACCAUCAAAUAAUCAUUAAUCUUCUGUGGAGCUUCCUUGGAAAAGGAAACUCUUGCUUUUGCUUGGA